UUAUAGAGUUUUCUAAACUCCCAACCCAUGUGAACUUACCUUUUGUUGCCUCGGCAGAAGUUAUAGGUCUUCUUAUAGCUGCUGCCGGUGGACCAUUAAACUCUUGUUAUUUUAUGUAAUCUGAGCGUCUUAUUUUAAUAAGUCAAAACUUUCAACAACGGAUCUCUUGGUUCUGGCAUCGAUGAAGAACGCAGCGAAAUGCGAUAAGUAAUGUGAAUUGCAGAAUUCAGUGAAUCAUCGAAUCUUUGAACGCACAUUGCGCCCAUUAGUAUUCUAGUGGGCAUGCCUGUUCGAGCGUCAUUUCAACCCUUAAGCCUAGCUUAGUGUUGGGAAUCUACUUCUCUUAGGAGUUGUAGUUCCUGAAAUACAACGGCGGAUUUGUAGUAUCCUCUGAGCGUAGUAAUUUUUUUCUCGCUUUUGUUAGGUGCUAUAACUCCCAGCCGCUAAACCCCCAAUUUUUUGUGGUUGACCUCGGAUCAGGUAGGAAUACCCGCUGAACUUAAGCAUAUCAAUAAGCGGAGGAAAAGAAACCAACAGGGAUUGCCUUAGUAACGGCGAGUGAAGCGGCAACAGCUCAAAUUUGAAAUCUGGCCCUUGGGUCCGAAUUGUAAUUUGU
rnacentral:rRNA from 1 species